GGCCAGACUCCUACGGGAGGCAGCAGUGAGGAAUAUUGGUCAAUGGGCGGGAGCCUGAACCAGCCAAGUCGCGUGAGGGAAGACUGCCCUAUGGGUUGUAAACCUCUUUUGUCAGGGAGCAAUUGGCGCUACGUGUAGCGUUAUCGAGAGUACCUGAAGAAAAAGCAUCGGCUAACUCCGUGCCAGCAGCCGCGGUAAUACGGAGGAUGCGAGCGUUAUCCGGAUUUAUUGGGUUUAAAGGGUGCGCAGGCGGAAUGUCAAGUCAGCGGUAAAAUUUCGGGGCUCAACCCCGUCGUGCCGUUGAAACUGGCGUUCUUGAGUGAGCGAGAAGUAUGCGGAAUGCGUGGUGUAGCGGUGAAAUGCAUAGAUAUCACGCAGAACUCCGAUUGCGAAGGCAGCAUACCGGCGCUCAACUGACGCUCAUGCACGAAAGCGUGGGUAUCGAACAGGAUUAGAUACCCGAGUAC
rnacentral:rRNA from 1 species